rnacentral:rRNA from 1 species
AUUGAACGCUGGCGGCAGGCCUAACACAUGCAAGUCGAACGAGUGGCGGACGGGUGAGUAAUGUCUGGGAAACUGCCUGAUGGAGGGGGAUAACUACUGGCAACGGUAGCUAAUACCGCAUACCAUCGGAUGUGCCCAGAUGGGAUUAGCUAGUGGGGGGGGUAACGGCUCACCUAGGCGACGAUCCCUAGCUGGUCUGAGAGGCUGACCAGCCACACUGGGACUGAGACACGGUCCAGACUCCUACGGUAGGCAGCAGGGGGGAAUAUUGCACAAUGGGCGCAAGCCUGAUGCAGCCAUGCCGCGUGUAUGAAGAAGGCCUUCGGGUUGUAAAGUACUUUCAGCGGGGAGGCGUUACCCGCAGAAGAAGCACCGGCUAACUCCGUGCCAGCCGCCGCGGUAAUAC